CUCAGUCUCCUUUUGGGUCCACACCGCAUCCGUUACAGUUUAACACAAUUUGAGAACCAACAAGUUUCCGUUCGUGGUCAUGGAUGAUUUUGUCCGUAACAAAUUAAUUGAAUGGGGUCUCAGCGAGUGGAUAGAACAAUUUAAAGGACAAGAUAUUGACACGAAGAGUCUUUAUUGUCUCGAUGAACCUGAAAUCAGCCACUUGAUCCCAAAAGUGGGACCAAGAUCAAAGUUCAAGCAGGGACUCAAGUUGUUAAAGGUUUGUCCGUCCACCAGCGGCACAAGUGAUAAAGGUGAGA